rnacentral:lncRNA from 1 species
CAAGCUUAAAAAUAAAACCCAACACCAAGGGAAAUCAGCUGGGAUGCUGCUGUUUGCUUUUUCUGAAAAGCACAGCCAGCCUUGAACGCUGUGUCAGCAGCAGUUUUCUUUCAGA